GUAGUGUCUUCUAUUAGAUAGCAAUUUUUAUAAUACUGUUUUGUAGUUUGUAAUAAUUAAUAUUUUUGCAACAUAACCCAAAACAGCGGUUAAAAAUUGGACCCUAAAACUAGUGCACUGAUGAUUAAUAUUCUUUUUUAUUGAUUUAUAUACCUUAACUUAAUUAUGUUUUUUGCAAGUUAAUAUGUUCUAUUUUUUCUAGAAGACAAUAAGUUUCUUAGAUAGUUUGUACUUAUGAUUACCUGUUUUUCACUGAUUGUAAGGUACACACAAUGUCAUUAAUUCCAGAAGAUCAUCCAGAGCAGAAUUAACCGUUCAGUUAAAAUCACCAUUUUGAAAUCUAUUAAAUCACUUUUAAAUUUGAGAGCAUGGUCCAAAUAAUUUACCCGAAUGUUUUUGGUUGCGGUUCCAACAUUCACAAAAGUUGUAUAAUAUAAAAUAGCAAGUAACUUAUUUUUGUUUCUCAUUUCGAAAAAUUUCUUUCACGCACAUUCACGCAAUUGACUGAACUCAACAGCAUCUGAUGAUAAACUUACUGAUGAGGUUAUCUUCUGUCCAUCUAUAAAGGUGCGAAUUCAUGCAGCGAUAAAUCGCUGGCGACUUUCCCCUUCUACCUCGGUUUUCCCCUUCUACACAUACUUGUGCCGAAUCCGUUGGAAUCCGUCGACAAAUCGUCAGAAGUUCAACUUGGUUGAACUUCAGCGACAAAUCGACACAAUCGUGAGCAGUAUGGAAUCUUCAAAUACCAGUUUAGGAACGGAUACGUGAAAAAAGCUAUGAUCCUGACGGUCUUUUAAUCGCUAGCGAUUUGUCGCCACAUGAAUAUGUACUAGGAGAAAAGCGACAGAUACUUGACGCUGGCGUUACUUUUCCCCCACUUCUUCCAAGUCGCCAGUGAUUUAUCGCUGCAUGAAUUCGCAGCUUAAGCAAUGCCACAAAAUAAACUUGAGCAUCGCCAUGCGACGAAAUAUUUUCGGUCAUUCAUGAAUAUCAUAAACAAACUUUUGCUAUUAACUAAUAUAUUUGGGUCUUGUUCUUGAUGAAGAUAAAUCUAUUUUUCUACAUAAUACCCUGAAGCUCGAUACUAACGCUGUUUCGUAGGUUUAUGUUUGUGUGUUUUGAUAAUGUUAUUGUUAUAUGAAGUGUUGAGUCUUAAAUAAUUAAAGCAAGAUACCUGUUUCGUUAUUUGUUCAUCAACCGCCAGCUUGCAGUUUGACGGGUCCCUCGGCAUGACCAUUGACUUUGUUUCUUUGUGAUAGAUAUCUUUAUAUCAUAUUUAGUUAAUACUCGAUUACAAUCAAAGAGCAAUCGUUAUAGGUUAUCUUCGUUCUCUGUUAUGAGAACUGUAUUAAUUGUAUCAUUUGUAUUUUCAAUAUUUAUAACUUUUAUCUUGAAAACCUCUAAUAAUAUAUAAUUAUUUGUAAGAGAUGCUGGAGUAUAAUUUUUAUCGACACUUUAUACACACAGUGCAAUUCAGUUUAAAAUGUAUAUGUCUAAAGCGUGUUUUACGUUGAAAAGCAUAACGUACGUGUGCAUCAGUUAAAUAAGAUAUAAGUUAAAAUCCGCUUAUGUUGCAUCAGAAUAAAAAGACAAACUUUUCAAACUUUAUGGAAACGUUGUGAUAAAAAAUAUUUAUCUCGUUAUGUUAACAAAUCUACUUAAGUGAAAGUUAUCGCUGCAUGAUGCAUGAAAGAAAUUAAUGUUUAUCACGCGAAAAACAUGUUAAAACGUCGCGGAAAAAAUAUACAUUAUACAAUCGAACAAUUUUAAUAAUUAUUCUGGUAGUUCUCUAUACUUAUUUGCACAUUUUUCUUCUUCAUAUUAAUUUCAAAUUUAUAUUUUACUAUGAAUAUAGUAAAUGUAGGGUAUUCCAGAAAUAGUUGGCCAAACUUUAAGAGUACAUUCCACUCAUUGUAAGGAUGAAAAAAAGUCAUGUAACUUGGAAAGAAAGCAUUUCUGAAUCCAUGUUUAUAUGACUUUUUUUAUACUUAUAAUGAGUGAAAUAUGCGCUUAAAGUUUCGUCAACUAUUUCUGAAACACUCUAUAUAUAUACUUGUCGAGAAUUACAUUUGAUUGGAAUAAAAGUUCGUAGUGACACAUACAUGAUAAAAUAAAUCAAUGUGCAAAUAUCUAAACAAAUCCCAUAUAGCACACUUUAUCUAAAGGGCAUCCCAAGAGCGUUCUUAGUACGUGCGGACGUUCUUUGAAUGUCUCAUGGAUCUUCCCAGCAAGUCUGUACUGUAUGGGUUAUCUUUGAAUUUUACUUAAAAAACGCUAUUAUCUUUUAUUCGAACUUAAUACAUUUUCUAUUAUAAAUUGUCCCUAGGAAACACAUGCACACUUUUACGUACAUACAACACCUCUCGAAAGGAGGAUAUUCAACGAAAGCCAUUUCUGGCUUAGAACUGAUACCUAAGUUGUUUAUUAGAAACUCUUUAUGGGACCUUUUAAUAGUAGAAAAAAAUAAUUAUUUGUCUACCAAGUCCAGAGGAAGUUACAAAAAAAUUGAAAUUUGUUAUUGAUUGCCGAAGUAGUCAUACUAGUAUUUUUUAAGCUUUAUGCUAUUAAAAUAAAGUUAAUUACGCAUUUAUAUGUGCUCAAAAAGGUGAGUAGUAAAUGUAGAGUGUGUGAAACUUUGGUUCGCAUAAUAUACAGGAUGUGAAAAAUAAUUAAUAGUAUUAAGCAAAAAGGGUACAAUUACAAUGUUCCAUUAUUUUUGUGUUGUGAUAGCCAAAUUCUAUUAAUGUUUUCAUAUUUAGUAUUCAAAAAUACGUUCAAAAUAACUAUUCGUAUUCAUUGAAAAAACGUCGUACCGAGCAAUUAUAUUAAUGAUACGCGCGCAUAACUAAUAUUUAUUCUUCAACUAUAUCUACCCCUAUAACCAUUUCUGCACCUGCAAAGGUUGGUAACAGACUUUGGUCCGCAUAUGGUCCGCAUACAUUGGUAUUUCCGGUACUGUUAGCAGAUUUGUACCAAAUAUACUACUACCUUGUUGGCAGAGUAUAUGACAAAUUGGCGUUGAAAA